rnacentral:rRNA from 1 species
CCUUAUGCUUAGGGCUACACACGUGCUACAAUGGGUAGUACAGAGGGUUGCCAAGCCGUAAGGUGGAGCUAAUCCCUUAAAGCUACUCUCAGUUCGGAUUGUAGGCUGAAACUCGCCUACAUGAAGCUGGCGUUACUAGUAAUCGCAGAUCAGAAUGCUGCGGUGAAUGCGUUCCCGGGUCUUGUACACACCGCCCGUCACACCACGGGAGUUGGACGCCGAAGCCGAUUAUCUAACCUUUUGGAAGAAGUCGUC